ACAGUUGGUGCAACCUGCCGUCCACUGGAAACUGGAAUCUUUGGUCUCCUUUUUCAGCUGAAAAGGCAAUAACAACAAAUAUGCAGCACACCUGAACAGAAGCUGACCAUGUACAGCCGGCCCGACCCAUAAGCGAACUGAGCGGCUGCUUAGGGCCCCGUGGCUACCAGAGGGCCCCCAAGAGCACUUGAAAUGUCCCACAAUAGAGCUCAUAACA